CACGUAGGGGCCAAGCGUUGUCCGGAUUUAUUGGGCGUAAAGAGCUCGUAGGCGGUUCGACAAGUCGGGUGUGAAAACUCCGGGCUCAACCCGGAGACGCCACCCGAUACUGUCGUGACUGGAGUCCGGUAGGGAGUGGGGAAGUUCCUGGUGUAGCGGUGAAAUGCGCAGAUAUCAGGAGGAACACCGGUGGCGAAGGCGCCACUCUGGGCCGGUACUGACGCUGAGGUGCGAAAGCGUGGGGAGCAAACAGG
rnacentral:rRNA from 1 species